rnacentral:tRNA from 1 species
UGCUGAACCGGGUCUGCUCGGCGUUUCGAAUGGGGCCGGUGUUGGGCUUAUUGCCGCCGUCUUACUGGGGCAGGGGC